rnacentral:rRNA from 1 species
GACGAACGCUGGCGGCGUGCUUAACACAUGCAAGUCGAACGGAAAGGCCCUGCUUUUGUGUGGUGCUCGAGUGGCGAACGGGUGAGUAACACGUGAGUAACCUGCCCUUGACUUUGGGAUAACUUCAGGAAACUGGGGCUAAUACCCGAUAGGAGCUCCUGCUGCAUGGUGUGGGUUGGAAAGUUUCGGCGGUUGGGGAUGGACUCGCGGCUUAUCAGCUGGUUGGUGGGGUAGUGGCUUACCAAGGCUUUGACGGGUAGCCGGCCUGAGAGGGUGACCGGCCACAUGGGGACUGAGAUACGGCCCAGACUCCUACGGGAGGCAGCAGUGGGGAAUAUUGCACAAUGGGGGGAAGCGUGAUGCAGCAACGCCGCGUGCGGGAUGACGGCCUUCGGGUUGUAAACCGCUUUCGACUGUGCCGAAGCGUGAGUGACGGUAAUGGGUAAAGAAGCAACGGCUAACUACGUG